GACGAACGCUGGCGGCGUGCCUAAUACAUGCAAGUCGAGCGAAGUUUUUCUGGUGCUUGCACUAGAAAAACUUAGCGGCGAACGGGUGAGUAACACGUAAAGAACCUGCCUCAUAGACUGGGACAACUAUUGGAAACGAUAGCUAAUACCGGAUAACAGUAUUUCUCGCAUGAGAGAUAUUUAAAAGUUGGUUAUGCUAACACUAUGAGAUGGCUUUGCGGUGCAUUAGCUAGUUGGUGGGGUAAAGGCCCACCAAGGCGACGAUGCAUAGCCGACCUGAGAGGGUGAUCGGCCACACUGGGACUGAGACACGGCCCAGACUCCUACGGGAGGCAGCAGUAGGGAAUCUUCCGCAAUGGGCGAAAGCCUGACGGAGCAACGCCGCGUGAGUGAAGAAGGAUUUCGGUUCGUAAAGCUCUGUUGUCAGGGAAGAAUGGAUAUGUAGUAACUAUACAUGUAAGAGACGGACCUAACCA
rnacentral:rRNA from 1 species